rnacentral:tRNA from 1 species
AGCCAACCGACCCUAUCCUUUUGAUUUUUAUUAGCUUUUGUCCAGCAAGGCAGCUAUUUCGUAAUCAGUAGGUCGACGGUUCGAUUCCGCCCAUCAGCACCA